CUGGGCUUUGUAUCAUUCAGUCAUGGGGACUCAUCUCUACCUAGGUGUGAUCAUCUUGGCAGUUUUUGCGACAACUGUUGCCAAUGCAGAGAUCAAAGUUGUCUGUGCGAAAGACUCGAUAAAAAUCACAUGGAAGAUCAACGCGGAGCUGGUGCCGUAUGCAGCGCGUCUCUUCCUUGGAACCUGCAUGGCCUCUGGUUUCAAUGUCCUGCCCAGCGGAGAGGGCGAAGCAGAGUUCAACUACGGUUUUGCUGCCUGCAAAUUCAAAAGACAGAUGAAAGGAAAAAAUCUCUUCUAUAGAAAUGAGCUGACUUACCGGCCACAACCAAGGUCAAAACCGGCUGCCUAUGUGUAUCCCAUCGAGUGCGUUUAUGAAAGACCCGCAGGAUGGGUUCCACCUUUCCUGAACCCUGGCGCAGGUGUUUCUGAAGGCCGAGGCAGUCUAGUGUUCCACAUGGCGCUGCUCAAUGAUCAAUUAACGCAUAUAUCAAAGACCAAUGUUUUCACCCUGGGCUCCUUCAUGCCAAUAUGGGCGGCAGUGGAGCAGAAGUCCCAUCAACCCUUGCUGCUGCUCAUGGAGGAAUGCGUGGCGACCACUACACCAGAGCUGCUGUCUGGUAGCCAGGUUUACCCCAUCAUAAGCAAUUAUGGGUGUCUUCUAGAUAGCAAGAGGGGAAACUCCAAGUUCCUCCCUCGCUACCAGUCGUCUGCUCUCACCCUUCUCCUGCAGGCCUUCCAGUUACGGUUUGGAAAUGAGGUGUACAUUCAUUGUAAACUGAUUGCAUGGGAUCCUGAAGUUCUUGAUGAUGGCAAGAAAGCCUGCCAUUACAAGAAGGAAAGUGAGAGCUGGGAACUACUCGAUGACUCCUCUAAGAGCUCUGUCUGUAGCUGCUGUGACUCAACCUGCAAGCCCCGCACCAAAAGAGGACUUGAAUGGAGUAUUACUUCUCUGCUAACAUGGAAAGUAACGGCUUUAGUCACCAUUCUGUGUUGGGACCCCUGAUCAUAGUGGAUCCGUCUGACUCGAAGGCCAACAACGUGUCUGUUCCUGCAGCUUACUCUCAGGAGGCCCAGUCUAAGCUGACGGAGACUCCAUGAUCGUGCUCGACUGAAGCAGAUGACCUCAGCCUCCUAACUAACGUGACAUCAGCCUUACAUGAUCUCAACUUGAACUGUUUGCAGAUUGUUGGAAUUGUCAAAUGUUGUACAUCCAUCUUAAAGUCUGUAUACAAAUAAACCAAGUGUAAACUCCUCA